GUGAUCGUAGCUCAACGGCAGAGCACCGCUUUGUGGAGGCGGGGGUUACGGGUUCAAAUCCCGUCGGUCACC
rnacentral:tRNA from 1 species